GUCUUCAGCCAUACCACUCUGAAUGUGCCCGAUCUGAGAAGCUAAGGAGGGUUGGGCCUGGUUAGUACUUGGACAGGAGACA
rnacentral:rRNA from 1 species